GUAGGGAAUAUUGGGCAAUGGGUGCAAGCCUGACCCAGCCAUCCCGCGUGCCGGAUGAAGGCCCUCUGGGUCGUAAACGGCUUUUGACGGUGAAGAACCGAAAGGGUGCGCCCUUUUUUGACGGUAGCCGUUGAAUAAGCACCGGCUAACUCCGUGCCAGCAGCCGCGGUAAUACGGAGGGUGCGAGCGUUGUCCGGAUUUAUUGGGUUUAAAGGGUGCGUAGGCUGGAGGGACAGUCAGCGGUGAAAAGCUGUCGCUUAACGAUAGUCUUGCCGCAGAUACUUCCUUUCUUGGAUGAGGAGGAGGCCACUGGAACGGAUGGUGUAGCGGUGAAAUGCAUAGAUAUCAUCCAGAACACCGAUUGCGAAGGCAGGUGGCUGUACCUUAAUCGACGCUGAUGCACGAAAGCAUGGGGAGCAAACAGGAUUAGAUACCCUGGUAGUCC
rnacentral:rRNA from 1 species